CCUUAGCCCGGAUAGAAGCGGUUACCCCGGAACAUGCGUUGGAGAGUAGGAGACAUUUAGAGAUGGAGAAGCGUUGGCGUGAGGAGUAAUAGCGGAGAGCCGGAAAUAGC
rnacentral:misc_RNA from 1 species